GGCCCUGACAGCCUUUGUGUUCCCAGGGAUGACCGGGCGCUACCUGAGGGGACAGGAGGAAGAGCUCCAGCUGAUGUGCAAAGCCCUUGAAUACAUGACAGAAGACAUAAGCAGUGCCAUAUCAGACCUGGCACUGCAAACAUUAUAUUUCCUCCGGGCAAUACAGAGUAGGAGAUACUCCAUCUUCCAGCGGUUACAUGAUCAGCUCCUCAGAAUCUGGAAGGCACGGCCUCGUCUGUCGGGCCUUACCUGGCUGCACUGCUGGAGCUCUGCAGAGCCCUGAUCUGGAAGGCUGUCUGCUGGGCCCACCUGAUGCAGCAGGCAUUUUCCAGUUUUUCAAGACUAUUCCUCUUUUCUUUUUCCUAUAUAAAUAUAGGAUGUGUUAUAACACA